CAGGCGUAGGCGAUGGAUAACAGGUUGAUAUUCCUGUACCACCUAUAAUCGUUUUAAUCGAUGGGGGGACGCAGUAGGAUAGGCGAAGCGUGCGAUUGGAUUGCACGUCUAAGCAGUAAGGCUGAGUAUUAGGCAAAUCCGGUACUCGUUAAGGCUGAGCUGUGAUGGGGAGAAGACAUUGUGUCUUCGAGUCGUUGAUUUCACACUGCCGAGAAAAGCCUCUAGAUAGAAAAUAGGUGCCCGUACCGCAAACCGACACAGGUAGUCAAGAUGAGAAUUCUAAGGUGAGCGAGCGAACUCUCGUUAAGGAACUCGGCAAAAUGACCCCGUAACUUCGGGAGAAGGGGUGCUCUUUAGGGUUAACGCCCAGAAGAGCCGCAGUGAAUAGGCCCAAGCGACUGUUUAUCAAAAACACAGGUCUCUGCUAAACCGUAAGGUGAUGUAUAGGGGCUGACGCCUGCCCGGUGCUGGAAGGUUAAGAGGAGUGGUUAGCUUCUGCGAAGCUACGAAUCGAAGCCCCAGUAAACGGCGGCCGUAACUAUAACGGUCCUAAGGUAGCGAAAUUCCUUGUCGGGUAAGUUCCGACCCGCACGAAAGGCGUAACGAUUUGGGCACUGUCUCAACGAGAGACUCGGUGAAAUCAUAGUACCUGUGAAGAUGCAGGUUACCCGCGACAGGACGGAAAGACCCCGUGGAGCUUUACUGUAGCCUGAUAUUGAAAUUCGGCACAGCUUGUACAGGAUAGGUAGGAGCCUUUGAAACGUGAGCGCUAGCUUACGUGGAGGCGCUGGUGGGAUACUACCCUAGCUGUGUUGGCUUUCUAACCCGCACCACUUAUCGUGGUGGGAGACAGUGUCAGGCGGGCAGUUUGACUGGGGCGGUCGCCUCCUAAAAGGUAACGGAGGCGCUCAAAGGUUCCCUCAGAAUGGUUGGAAAUCAUUCAUAGAGUGUAAAGGCAUAAGGGAGCUUGACUGCGA
rnacentral:rRNA from 1 species